AUUGAACGCUGGCGGAACGCUUUACACAUGCAAGUCGAACGGUAACGUGGGGAGGAGCUUGCUCCACCCCGACGACGAGUGGCGAACGGGUGAGUAAUACAUCGGAACGUGUCCGCCUGUGGGGGACAACCAGCCGAAAGGUUGGCUAAUACCGCAUGAGUUCUACGGAAGAAAGAGGGGGACCCGCAAGGGCCCCUCGCGAGCGGAGCGGCCGAUGACUGAUUAGCCGGUUGGUGAGGUAACGGCUCACCAAAGCAACGAUCAGUAGCUGGUCUGAGAGGACGACCAGCCACACUGAGACUGAGACACGGCCCAGACUCCUACGGGAGGCAGCAGUGGGGAAUAUUGCGCAAUGGGGGGAACCCUGACGCAGCCAUGCCGCGUGAAUGAAGAAGGCCUUCGGGUUGUAAAGUUCUUUCGGUGGUGAGGAAGGUUAGGAUGUUAAUAGCAUACUGAUUUGACGUUAGCCACAGAAGAAGCACCGGCUAACUCCGUGCCAGCAGCCGCGGUAAUACGGAGGGUGCGAGCGUUAAUCGGAAUAACUGGGCGUAAAGGGCACGCAGGCGGGACGUUAAGUGAGAUGUGAAAGCCCCGGGCUUAACCUGGGAACAGCAUUUCAUACUGGCGUACUAGAGUACUUUAGGGAGGGGUAGAAUUCCACGUGUAGCGGUGAAAUGCGUAGAGAUGUGGAGGAAUACCGAAGGCGAAGGCAGCCCCUUGGGAAGAUACUGACGCUCAUGUGCGAAAGGCGUGGGGAGCAAACAGG
rnacentral:rRNA from 1 species